GGGCGAGUGGCGGAAUUGGUAGACGCGCUGGAUUUAGGAUCCAGUGGAUAACACCAUGGGGGUUCGAGUCCCUUCUCGCCCA
rnacentral:tRNA from 1 species